GUGGGGAAUAUUGGGCAAUGGACGCAAGUCUGACCCAGCAACGCCGCGUGAAGGAAGAAGGCUUUCGGGUUGUAAACUUCUUUUAAGGGGGAAGAGCAGAAGACGGUACCCCUUGAAUAAGCCACGGCUAACUACGUGCCAGCAGCCGCGGUAAUACGUAGGUGGCAAGCGUUGUCCGGAUUUACUGGGUGUAAAGGGCGUGCAGCCGGAGAGACAAGUCAGAUGUGAAAUCCACGGGCUCAACCCGUGAACUGCAUUUGAAACUGUUUCCCUUGAGUGUCGGAGAGGUAAUCGGAAUUCCUUGUGUAGCGGUGAAAUGCGUAGAUAUAAGGAAGAACACCAGUGGCGAAGGCGGAUUACUGGACGAUAACUGACGGUGAGGCGCGAAAGCGUGGGGAGCAAACAGGAUUAGAAACCCCAGUAGUCC
rnacentral:rRNA from 1 species